CAGCCGCCGCGGUAAUACGAAGGGUGCAAGCGUUACUCGGAAUUACUGGGCGUAAAGCGUGCGUAGGUGGUGGUUUAAGUCCGUUGUGAAAGCCCUGGGCUCAACCUGGGAAUUGCAGUGGAUACUGGGUCACUAGAGUGUGGUAGAGGAUAGUGGAAUUUCCGGUGUAGCGGUGAAAUGCGUAGAGAUCGGAAAGAACACCAACGGCGAAAGCACUCUGCUGGGCCGACACUGACACUGAGAGACGAAAGCUAGGGGGGCAAAUGGGAUUAGAUACCCGGGUAGUCCCUGUCUCUUAUAA
rnacentral:rRNA from 1 species